CCGUUUUGUCUUGAAUUUUGUCUCUAAAACUGAUCCCUUUUGUCAUAAAUCAUGGGGACUCGUCUCUCCAUCACCAAAGUGGGUGGUGGUGGUUUAAGCAGCAACACCACCGCCCAGCACCGCAAAGAACAACAACCCCCUGCCGCAACAACAGCGACCAAUGCGGAAAAACAGGUGAGGUGUUCUCAGCCUCUGAGAAACAAGCGGAAACCAGGUACAAGGAAGCAAAGUGGGAUCAUCCCGUGGGGCAAGCGUACGGAUUUCAGAGGUACCAUAAAGAUUUUGAUAAGCCUUACACGAUUGGGAAAUUGUUGGGACAUGGACAAUUUGGAUACACAUGUGUUGCCAUAAACAAGGUGAAUGCAGAUAGUGUUACCGCUAAGAAAAAUGAUAAAAAUAAGAGGUGGGGUUUCUUUUUCUGGGUGAGCAAAAAAAAGGUAGGAUUUUCGGAUUAGAAUUGUUUCGGCGGUGCUGACUAUCUGAAUGGAGACCGUUUACAGCGGCUCAUGAUGGCGCAGUUAGCGGCAGCUUGAGAGGGAAGAGAAUAUUUAGUUUGUUUUUUUUAAGAAUUUUUGCGAUUUUUUAAAAUUUUUACAUAAUUAUAAUUUUUAAAAAUAUUUUUAUAAUAUCAAAAUAAAUAAAUAGUGUUCAGAA